rnacentral:rRNA from 1 species
GACGAACGCUGGCGGCGUGCCUAACACAUGCAAGUGGAGCGACGAACCGGGCUUCGGCCCGGGGCCAAGCCGCGAACGGGUGAGUAACACGUGGGUAACCUGCCCUGAUGAUUGGGACAACCCGAGGAAACUCGGGCUAAUACCGAAUGUGCCCUCCGACCAUAAGGUCUGCGGGGAAAGGAAGCUUCGGCCUCCGCAUCGGGAUGGGCCCGCGGCGCAUUAGCUUGUUGGUGGGGUAACGGCUCACCAAGGCGACGAUGCGUAGCUGGUCUGAGAGGACGAUCAGCCACACUGGGACUGAGACACGGCCCAGACUCCUACGGGAGGCAGCAGUGGGGAAUCUUGCGCAAUGCGCGAAAGCGUGACGCAGCAACGCCGCGUGGGGAAGACGGCCUCGG